ensembl:miRNA
UCCAGGAGUCUGCAGGCUGGUUAGAUGGUUGUCACGUACCCAGC